AGUGAACGCUGGCGGUAGGCCUAACACAUGCAAGUCGAACGGCAGCACAGUAAGAUCUUGCUCUUACGGGUGGCGAGUGGCGGACGGGUGAGGAAUACAUCGGCAUCUACUUUUUCGUGGGGGAUAACGUAGGGAAACUUACGCUAAUACCGCAUACGACCUACGGGUGAAAGCAGUGGAUCUUCGCACCUUGCGCGAUUGAAUUAGCCGAUGUCGGAUUAGCUAGUUGGCGGGGUAAAGGCCCACCAAGGCGACGAUCCGUAGCUGGUCUGAGAGGAUGAUCAGCCACACUGGAACUGAGACACGGUCCAGACUCCUACGGGAGGCAGCAGUGGGGAAUAUUGGACAAUGGGCGCAAGCCUGAUCCAGCCAUACCGCGUGGGUGAAGAAGGCCUUCGGGUUGUAAAGCCCUUUUGUUGGGAAAGAAAAGCAGCAGGUUAAUACCCCGCUGUUCUGACGGUACCCAAAGAAUAAGCACCGGCUAACUUCGUG
rnacentral:rRNA from 1 species